GUCAAGCCUUUAUAUUGAGCGUA
rnacentral:siRNA from 1 species